UACGUAGGGUGCGAGCGUUAAUCGGAAUCACUGGGCGUAAAGCGCACGUAGGCGGAUGUGUCAGUCAGGGGUGAAAUCCUGGAGCUCAACUCCAGAACUGCCUUCGAUACUGGGAGUCUCGAGUUCGGGAGAGGUGAGUGGAACUGCGAGUGUAGAGGUGAAAUUCGUAGAUAUUCGCAAGAACACCAGUGGCGAAGGCGGCUCACUGGCCCGAUACUGACGCUGAGGUGCGAAAGCGUGGGGAGCAAACAGG
rnacentral:rRNA from 1 species